UACAGAGGGUGCGAGCGUUGUCCGGAAUCACUGGGCGUAAAGGGCGCGUAGGUGGCGGCCCAAGUCCAUGGUGAAAGCUCGAUGCUCAACAUCGAGUCGGCCACGGAUACUGGGUUGCUCGAGCACUGUAGGGGCAGAUGGAAUUCCGGGUGUAGCGGUGGAAUGCGUAGAGAUCCGGAAGAACACCGGUGGCGAAGGCGGUCUGCUGGGCAGUUGCUGACACUGAGGCGCGACAGCGUGGGGAGCAAACAGGG
rnacentral:rRNA from 1 species